GUGCUACCUUCCACAGCACAUUAUACUAGAACAGAGAAGAUGAGCACGGCCCCUGAGCAAAGAAGAUGUGCAAGUUCAUGAGGGGUUCCAUAUUUUU
rnacentral:snRNA from 1 species